AUUGAACGCUGGCGGCAGGCUUAACACAUGCAAGUCGAGCGGAGUGAUGGUGCUUGCACUAUCACUUAGCGGCGGACGGGUGAGUAAUGCUUAGGAAUCUGCCUAUUAGUGGGGGACAACAUCUCGAAAGGGAUGCUAAUACCGCAUACGUCCUACGGGAGAAAGCAGGGGAUCACUUGUGACCUUGCGCUAAUAGAUGAGCCUAAGUCGGAUUAGCUAGUUGGUGGGGUAAAGGCCUACCAAGGCGACGAUCUGUAGCGGGUCUGAGAGGAUGAUCCGGCACACUGGGACUGAGACACGGCCCAGACUCCUACGGGAGGCAGCAGUGGGGAAUAUUGUACAAUGGGGGGAACCCUGAUCCAGCCAUGCCGCGUGUGUGAAGAAGGCCUUAUGGUUGUAAAGCACUUUAAGCGAGGAGGAGGCUCUUUUGGUUAAUACCCAAGAUGAGUGGACGUUACUCGCAGAAUAAGCACCGGCUAACUCUGUGCCAGCCGCCGCCGUAA
rnacentral:rRNA from 1 species